CAGAAAAGGAAUGUUCGAAAUUUGGAAAGGAAAAUUUGUAUAGGAGAACAAAUUAGCGAAAAUAAGUCAUUCCACGUGAUGACAGUCACUAUCAGCGGUCUAAUUCAAAAGGGAAUAAUGAAAACUUACUUCAGUGCCAUGUGUGAAGUGACAGUAAAGCAGAAUAGCUACAGACCAUGAAUUGAGAAAUGAAAAUAUGCAGAUGUAAAUGUAUAACAUGGUGUAUGUGGGAAACAUAGCGGACAGGAAGCAAGUAAGAUAAUGUGAAGUAACAGUAACACAGAAUGGCUAGAGACCAUUAACUUCAGAACUGAAGAGAUGCAGGUCUUUAAUCUAUAUGGCGAAUGAUGGAACCAUGGUGGAGUUUUGGAUUUAUAAGGUGUGAAGUUACAGGAAAGCAGAAUAGCUACAAACCAUGAUAUUUAGAAAUGAAGAGAUGCAUGUCUUUGUUCAGCAUGGUGUAUAUGGGAAACAUUGUGGAUGGCAGACAUGAAAUGAUUUAUGCGAAGUAACAGAAAAGCAGAAUGGCUACAGACUUUCAAUUCAGAAUUGAAGAGAUGCAGUUCUUUGUUCUAUAUGGUGUAUGGGGGAACCAUGGUGGAAAUUUGGAUUUCAUGGCAGUCAUAGAAAUAUCUAAUAAGUCUAUAGGACAGUGACGUGUGUACCAGUUUGUCAGGCUAUCACAUGUCUGUCCAGGUGACAAAUUCGCUAUGGAUGCAUAGAUUCUCAAAUAAUUUGGCAGAACUUUUCACAGUCAUAAAGACAUAUAUCAAAAGGUUUUUAGAGGAAGAUAUGAGGUAGAGCUCUACAGUUUUCCAUAAACACACCAAGAAGUUCACAUUUUUUUGCACAGAUUUGUGUUCCACAUGACAGUAUUGCCUUGAAGGAAUUAUAAAAGGAAAAGGGUAAAGAAGAUAUAGCCAAACUAACACCUUCCCAAGGAUUCGAAGCAGCAACCUUCUGAUAGAAAAAUUUACCUGUUGUGUAAACAGGAUGAGCUGGCAUGAUAAAAG